GAAAUAAAGUCAGCUAUAUCUCUUUUCAUUCCGUUCCACCAAAAUCAGGGUUGUAUACUUUGGUAUAUUUUAGUGCUUCUGAGAUGCAUGGCAAGCUUUAAGCUAUGGGCCUCGGUCAUGAUGUCUCUCUUUAACUCACUGUCACUUGGAACACACACCCUGUCCUGGAAUCUGAGCAACCCAUCGGCGAAGACUCAGAAUUCUGAGCUAACUCCCU
rnacentral:lncRNA from 1 species